rnacentral:pre_miRNA from 1 species
AUUACCUGGGGAUCUUAUUAAAAUGCAGUUUCUGAUUCAGUAGGCCUGGAAAAGGGUCUGAGAGUCUGCAUUUGUAAUAAGCUCCCAGGUGAGCUGA